UUGUUGUAGCUCUCCUUAGUA
rnacentral:tRNA from 6 species